AUACGGAGGGAGCGAGCGUUAAUCGGAAUUACUGGGCGUAAAGCGCGCGUAGGCGGCUUUGUAAGUCGGAUGUGAAAGCCCUGGGCUUAACCUGGGAAUGGCAUUCGAUACUGCAGAGCUAGAGUAUGGUAGAGGGAAGUGGAAUUUCCGGUGUAGCGGUGAAAUGCGUAGAUAUCGGAAGGAACACCAGUGGCGAAGGCGACUUCCUGGGCCAAUACUGACGCUGAGGGACGAAAGCGUGGGGAGCAAACAGGAUUAGAAACCCCGGUAGUCC
rnacentral:rRNA from 1 species